UGUCUAUGUUGGACCAGCAUAGGCUGAAAGAGGAGACACUCACUAUGGCCUAGGGUAGAAGUGGGGGAUAAUAGUUACAGCAAGCACAUGUUGAGUUAUUUUCAAAUGCUUUACAUGUGUCAACAUUUAAUCGUCCCUAGCAGCCAGGGAGGUAGGGUAAAAUGUGCAAGCCCAUUUCACAGAUGAGAAAAUUGAGGCACAAUUUUGCCUCCUCUGAGGGAGGUAAGAAAUUUGCCCAAGGUUACACAGCUGGCAAGUGACCACAACAGGACUGAAAUUCAGACCCUCUGGAUCAAGAGCGAAGCUCAUAGCCGCUAGGCUAGACCGCGGAGGGUCUUGAGGUUGAGAGGAAGCAGUCAGGAGAGGAGGGAGCAGGAAAUUCAGUUUUAGAGGAGAAAUUAGUCCAGUUCUCUCCUCUCUGCCUUUCACGGGAAAGGUAGUUCCUGUGAAGAGACGCCUGAACCCAGAGGUAGGUGCCAACGGAAAUUUCUUCCUGAAAAGUAAUAAUAGCUGCUAUUUAUUUAGCACCUACAUUGCGAAGGGCACAUGAUGUUUGUUUCCUGUAACCAGACACCUUGCCUCCAAAGCUUCUUUCUACUCUAUGACCCUGUGUCUGUGCCAGUGACUUUGGGACCCCAGCCCAUCCAGAGAGAGGGCAAGACACAGAUGGGGAAGGGCUCCACUGAGCACACGCAUGGAUAAUGCUACUUUUUUAUUUUAAGAGGUUUGUUCCAGGUGGGAAUGAGAUGAAGCUGUGAAAGCCCAGGCUGGCUCCAUUUGCUUCCCUUUGACCUUGGGGAGACUCUGUUACUUGGGGAUUCUCCAUCAUUGCAGCUGCAGGAUGCAAGACAGAGCAUCAAGCCUGAAGAGCCUGUUCUGCCGCUCUCUAGCUGCAAGACCUUA